rnacentral:rRNA from 1 species
AGAGUUUGAUCAUGGCUCAGGACGAACGCUGGCGGCGUGCCUAACACAUGCAAGUCGUACGAGGGCAGCCUUCGGGCUGACCCGAGUGGCGGACGGGUGAGUAACACGUGACCAAUCUGCCUUCGAGAGGGGGAUAACCUGGGGAAACUCGGGCUAAUACCGCAUGAUGUAUCGUGCUCGCAUGGGCGUGAUACCAAAGGGAGGCCUCUAUUUAUAAGCUUCCGCUUGAAGAGGAGGUCGCGGCGUAUCAGCUAGUUGGUAGGGUAACGGCCUACCAAGGCGACGACGCGUAGCGGGUCUGAGAGGACGACCCGUCACAUUGGGACUGAGAUACGGCCCAGACUCCUACGGGAGGCAGCAGUGGGGAAUAUUGCGCAAUGGCCGAAAGGCUGACGCAGCGACGCCGCGUGUGGGAGGAAGCCCUUCGGGGUGUAAACCACUGUCGGGAGGGACGAAUCGCGAACGGGCAAAUAGCCCGGGCGCUUGACGGUACCUCCAAAGGAAGCACCGGCUAACUCCGUGCCAGCAGCCGCGGUAAGACGGAGGGUGCAAGCGUUGUUCGGAAUUACUGGGCGUAAAGCGCGGGCAGGUGGCCUUUUAAGUCCUUUGUGAAAUCCCGGAGCUCAACUCCGGAUGUGCAUAGGAUACUGGAAGGCUAGAGACUGGUAGAGGCGAGCGGAAUUCCUGGUGUAGCGGUGGAAUGCGUAGAUAUCAGGAAGAACACCGGUGGCGAAGGCGGCUCGCUGGGCCAGUUCUGACACUCAUCCGCGAAAGCGUGGGGAGCAAACAGGAUUAGAUACCCUAGUAGUCC